GACAGCCCAGGUUUGCGUUCAGCCACAGGGCGAGCGCGCCUGGUCCUUGGGCUCCCUCGGCACGCAGCUCGGUACCUGAGGCAGCUGCCUCUCUGGCCAUGUCAUCUGCGGGAGGACGUGUGCCCAAGUGGCUCGGCCUUGCCGCGGGUGGAAACUGGUCACCAUUUGGGUUUAUGUUAAUGACGGCGGAACAGGCGUGCUCUGAGAUGUUCUCGAGAUGUGUCCCUUUAAUUUAAAAUACAAGGAAUGCUUUCCAUGUGUCGCUGAAGAACUAGCUCCGCUGUACAAGUGCCGUGCCUGUGAGAAUUUUAAGGCUGUUAAGGACUACAGCCUAUCAAAGGUCUCAAAACAACAGGCCAGCUACCUCCCGAUUUGCAAUCACGUAUUCACAACUCCAGACUGAAGGAUUCUGGUUUUUGUUUUAAUCAUCCCAUUUCUUUUUCUUUUUUUCCCCAAAAUAAAACAGGAUUUAACUGUUUAUUACAUUGUUCCAGGCUCCGGAACCCUGGGGAGGCAUUGUUCAAAGGACAUUGUGCUUUUCUAUAUUUAUUUAAACGUGGCAAGAUGCACUGAAAAUUUAUGCUGACAGUUUAACAAAACCAGAUCAAGCAGGUGAGGGUUUUUGUUUUUUUUUAAA